rnacentral:rRNA from 1 species
UACGUAGGGGGCAAGCGUUGUCCGGAUUUAUUGGGCGUAAAGAGCGUGUAGGCGGUUUUACAGGUCCGCUGUGAAAACCCGAGGCUCAACCUCGGGCCUGCAGUCGAUACGGGCGGACUGGAGUUCGGCAGGGGAGACUGGAAUUCCUGGUGUAGCGGUGAAAUGCGCAGAUAUCAGGAGGAACACCGGUGGCGAAGGCGGGUCUCUGGGCCGAUACUGACGCUGAGGAGCGAAAGCGUGGGGAGCGAACAGG